GCGGGGGACAAAACUGCUAUACAUUUGUCUUUGGGGGGGUAAACCUACGAAAAGUGGAAUAACCCCGCUUACCGCAUGUUAGUAGACGGUGGGAUAGGAAGGCCUUCUGCCAUGCGAUGCGCCUUGGUGCCAUUAGGUUGUUGGUGAGGUGAAGGCUGGCCACACCAACCAUACCUAGGUGAACUGAAAGGAUUACCUCCCCCACUGGUACUGAAACCCGGGACAGACUCCUACGGGACGCAGGGGUGAGGAAUAUUGCUGAAUGGGAGGAACCCUCAUCCUGCCAUGCCGCCUGAAUGAAGACUGGCUUCUGGAUUGAUAGUUCUUUUCUUCGAAAAAUUUAUAUCCGGUAAUAACUUAUUAAUUCACCUUAAUAUUAAGCAACGGCAACUUCCUUGCCAGCACCCGCGCCACUACCAUGGGUGGGAGCGGAACCCGAAUUUGAUUUGCUUAAAGUGCGUCUCCCUUUGUGUUAACUUGCUCAAGAGGCACUAGCCCUCGGCUUGCCCCAUAGGACUUUGAUUUGGCCCCGGAACCCCUGUAGAAGAAUGGAGGAAGAGUUACAAAUUCCACUCGGGAGCGGUGAAUUGAUUAUGACUAGAUAAUGAAAAGUUAGCAGCAAACGUCAGAACCCGUG
rnacentral:rRNA from 1 species